rnacentral:rRNA from 1 species
AGCAGCCGCGGUAAUUCCAGCUCCAAUAGCGUAUAUUAAAGUUGUUGCAGUUAAAAAGCUCGUAGUUGAAUUUCGGGGUCAGUAAGUUGGUCGUGCCACCGGUAUGUACUGGCUUUACUGAUUCCUCCUUCUCGAAGAACUGUAAUGUCAUUAAUUUGGUGUUGCAGGGAAACAGGACUGUUACUUUGAAAAAAUUAGAGUGUUUAAAGCAGGCUAACGCUUGAAUACAUUAGCAUGGGAUAAUGAAAUAGGACGUUUGACCCUAUUUUGUUGGUUUCUAGGAUCGACGUAAUGAUUAAUAGGGAUAGUUGGGGGCAUUAGUAUUCAAUUGUCAGAGGUGAAAUUCUUGGAUUUAUUGAAGACUGACUACUGCGAAAGCAUUUGCCAAGGAUGUUUUCAUUAAUCAAGAACGAAAGUUAGGGGAUCGAAGACGAUCAGAUACCGUCGUAGUCUUAACCAUAAACUAUGCCGACUAGGGAUCGGAUGAUGUUAAUUUUAAAUGACUCAUUCGGCGCCUUAC